AAACUCUCAUUUUUCAUUAAUCAUCAUCCUCCCACUUUCUCUCUCUAAACAACACCACUUACUAGCUCCUUUAUAAUCCAGAAGGGGGUUUUUCCAAUUGUAGAGAGGUGGGGCAUCUCCUCCGCCCGCCUGCAAUUACCUCAGCCUCAGCUAUACCAUAUACGGCCAUGGCGGCCAACCACCGUGUGUUUUCUUGUGAGGCACCCCUGUAGAACAAAUCAUUAUUCUAUACUAGUACAUCAAGAGGUGGGUUUUCCAGAGACAAAUGGAGGGUGGCGGCGCUUCUGGUGGCGGCGGAGCGGCGAGAGGUGUGGCCAGAAGGAGGGGCGACAAGCCAUAUAAAGGUAUAAGGAUGCGCAAGUGGGGCAAGUGGGUGGCUGAGAUUAGGGAGCCCAACAAGCGUCCCCCCCCGGGGCGGCGGGGCGAGCCUACGACACGGCCGUGUACUACCUGCGCGGCCCCACUGCGAAGCUCAACUUCCCUGAUGAAAUCACCGUCGGCGGCGGGGUGCUGCAGGACCUGUCGGCGGACGCCAUAAGGCAGAAGGCGGCGGAGGUGGGCGCGAGAGUGGACGCUCUCCAGACCAACGGCUUCACGGCUCAGGGGACCCAUGCAAUGAAUCAUGAUCUGUCAAUGAAACCCUCUUGGUUCCAUGACGAGAUUGAUCUGAAUAAGAAGCCGGAGCCCGAAGACCCGAGUGCUGAGGACUGGUGAAGAACUGAGACAAUUAACCAGUAAUUAUAAUUAUUAAUCUCUUUAAUUAGCGUAUGUCGUCAGAGGGGUGGUAUGGUAACAUCAUGCACCUCGUAGUUCGCAGCAGUCAGGACUAGGUAUCUUAGUAAUUUCUACUUUUAAUUUCUUCUUCUUUUUUCUUUUUCUUUUUGUAAUUUUCAUGUUUCUUGGAUAGAACAGUUUUGUUGUUGCGGGCUGUAAUGUUGAACAAAUCAAGUAAUGUGAAUAUAUAUAUAUAUAUAUAUAUAUCUAAUCUGUUAGUAGUAAUUAAAGAGGUUUUUGAUGUUGGUUGGAUCAGAAUUAACAAGACAGAAUGCUUGCAUGUGAUGAUUGGAUGCGGUGGUGGUGGUGGUGGUGGAGGAGGAGGAGGAGGGCCGGGGAACACCAAUUAAGGGACCUACCAUUGCUCGAGUUUGGUGCAAGUGGAUAUUUGUUGCAAAUUGCAACUGGCAAAAAGCACACACACCAAAUGUGAAUUAGUGGGCGCCACCGC